CGCAAACAAAACACUGCAAGAGCUCAGAAAGGUGCGUGCUGGCGUCGAGUUCAGUUGUGUAGUUUGCGACGAAGACCUUCAAGGCUAACCGCGAGAGCGGAUUGUUGUAAUUGCGACGAUCAACAGUACGGCGUCGCCAUGCACCACCUCUUACUAUCAACCGUGAGGAAUAAAGAGCUGUCGUCUUCCCACGAACCAUUUAUAACAUAGAAGCUAGCGGCGUAUUUAUUUCAGUUCCAUUACAUAAUGGAAUGCAAUCCAUGUUUCGUCGAAAUUUCCCACCAAUUAAAGGAGGAUGCAAAUUUUGAUACAUCAACGUAUUUUCAAAGGAGGGUUGUUGGAAUUUUGAAAAUAGAAUAAUGUUCUACAAGCGUUGUGAUGAAAAGUAUUUUAUGCAGGGCAACAUGUUUUACAUUUGCAUCGCAUGGUCAAGUUGGAGUUUAUUCCUAUUUCAUGAACUUGAAACAUAACAGCGCAUGAGUUUGUUAGUUUGCCUUUUUUCAAUUUUUCAGUUUCUCUUUAAACGCGUUUGGUAUUCUAUAGACGCUGUAAAAGAAAGUUCAGUUUUUAUAAACGAAUGAAGUAGACUGGUAAAUAUGGUAUAUUUUCUAAACCAUGACACAUUUUUAUUUGCAAAUAAGACUGAAUGCCUUGAAAUAGCACCUAUACCUUUAAACAGCAGGCUUUCGGGAAUGUUGUGUUUCUUUUUCUAUUCUAUUCCGUCAUCCUACAUACAUACGCAAGUAAAGUACGUACCUACUUUUGAUUGGGUUAUCUAGACUGGUAAAUAUCCAGUAACGACUACCAAUGUGACUGAGAUGCAUACGUCUGAAAUAGCAGCUAUUUUGCAUCAUAACUGGUAUGGUACACCAUGUGCGAAUUUGAGAACAAACAUUUUAAUUGCCCACCGAGAACGUAAUAUUUUCUAAAACACCGUAUUUCGGUAGCGGCAAAAGAGGGUUGCAAGGUUUUGGACCCAGGCGGGAUUGUGGACAAAAAUUAAAAACAUCUGCCCCACGCAUCCUAUUCAGCUAAAUGGUCCAAUGGAUAUUUUGUAAAGUAAACGUCGUUGCUAGGAUUUUACAAUAUUCAUACAACAUUUAUUGAUCGUAGCUAUCAAUUGUCGAUAGGGGAAAAUAUAUGAUCUUACGAAAAAGUAACAUUUAUUACUUGUGAUAAGCAUGUGAGCAACUUAAAGGUUGCAUAUUAUAGCUGUUGUAAACCUUUGUUACAUCGCAUUCCAUAGCUGACGUACUGUGUCUCGCAUGUUAGUUGUUGUUCCUACUAUUUGAAACAGUCGUAAUUUUUUGAAGAAUAAUAUGAAGAAACAGGGAUGAGAAGAUAGAAACAUUAUCCUUCCAUUGAGUUGAUGUAUUGCUUCCGUUUAACAAUCGAAUGAUAUGUCACAAUAUGCAGAAACAUUGUAUUUCCACAUCUGAUGCAAGUGCGAAUGAUCAAUGCACAGGAAUAUGUUUAGCUUAACAAUGAUGUUUUUUUGUUAUAUAGGUCAGUAAGUAAAUAUUGUAAUUUUGGCUGAA